GAUGAACGCUAGCGGCAGGCCUAAUACAUGCAAGUCGAACGGUGUCUUCGGACAUAGUGGCGCACGGGUGCGUAACACGUAUGCAACCUACCUUACAUUGGGGGAUAGCCUUUCGAAAGGGAGAUUAAUACCGCAUAAGACAGUAGCUGGGCAUCCAGCAGCUGUUAAAGAUUUAUCGAUGUAAGCUGGGCAUGCGUCCAAUUAGCUAGUUGGUGAGGUAACGGCUCACCAAGGCAAUGAUUGGUAGGGGAACUGAGAGGUCAAUCCCCCACACUGGCACUGAGAUACGGGCCAGACUCCUACGGGAGGCAGCAGUAGGGAAUAUUGGGCAAUGGACGCAAGUCUGACCCAGCUAUGCCGCGUGCAGGAUGAAGGCGUUAUGCGUUGUAAACUGCUUUUAUACAGGAAGAAACGACUCUUGCGAGAGGCAUUGACGGUACUGUAUGAAUAAGCACCGGCUAACUCCGUGCCAGCAGCCGCGGUAAGAC
rnacentral:rRNA from 1 species